GUGACAGCUGAGAAAGGUGGGGCGUGAAAACUAACCAGCCAGUGUUAACUGAUUGAUAGACCACAGGUGCCUUGACCUUAUUACCUGUAAGGCGGGGCUGACAGAAGCUAGAUGUCCUUGAAGUGGGUUGGGGGGGGGGGCGGCGCGGCGGCGGCAAGUCACCUACAAGUACAUUUACAUAGUAAGUUUGGUCUAGUCACUUAGUGCAGUCUGACAGUAGUGGUGGCAGUAACUCAGUUUUUAAAAAAAAAGCCACAUGUAUUAAUUCCAGGUGAUUUAAAACUGAAUAACAAAAAACUUUUCAAAGAAAAUAAUUAUAUAUAUUACCUCAGGAAUAGAGAAAGAGUUUUAAAUUUUAUUUUUUUAAUUAUUAUUAUUUUUGGCUGUGCCGCACCUCUUGGGGGAUCUCAGUUCCCAGACCAGGGACUGAACCCAGGCCACAGCAGUGAAAGUGCCAAAUCCUAACCCCUAGACCAUCAGGGAGCUCCCUAGAGAAAGAUUUUUAAGUGAGACACAGCACAAACCUUAAAAGGUUGAUGAGUCAAAAGUUUGUUUGUCCAAAGAUAACACAAAAGAGAGUAAAGUCACAGCCUAGGAACAGAAACACGUAUCUGACAAAGGAUUAGUAACCAGAAUAUAUGAAGAAUCCCUAUUAGUUAAAAUAGGUAAUUACAAACAAAGGGUAUUAAUAAGCAAUAAACUAAAGCCAGUAAAUGCGUAUUUCAGCAAUGAGGUACCUUUUUACGUUCGUGUCAUAAACUGGCGAACAAUGGUCUGGCCACACCACAUGUUGGCAAGGAACUUGGACUACUGAUGGUAGAAUUAGCUGGUAAAAUCACUUUUUUGGAAAGCAAUUGCCUCAUGACCUAGUACUAAAUUCCACUAAAGUGUAUUUACUAGAAAACCCCUCACAGGUGCAUAAGGGGUUGUACAGUAGAGUAUCUGUAAUUGAGAAAAAACUGGUAACGACCUAAAUAUCUUUAACAACAGGAUAAAUUAUAUGCACAGAUGGAUGUGAAAGUGAAUAAAAUAGAGCUCUGCAUACCAAUAUGCAUUAUAUAGUGGAAAUAAAAUAGGGGAAAAAGGUAAUUGUGUGAUACUGCACACACUUAAAAAUAUACAGAGCUCUUGUUUAUGGACGCGUGCACAUACAAUAAAAGUAGAAAGCGCUGUAUAAGAAUGAUAAACACCAAAUUCACAGUAUUCACCUCCUCCAUAAGAAACAGAAUGACUGGGGAAGGAUAGAACAGGUGCCUACAACCAUGCUGAUGAUGGCUUAUUUCUUCAGCUGAAUGUACAUUAGUUAUAAAAUGAACUGAAUAUGUUUUUUCUAAUGUGCCUGAAAUAUUUCAUUUAAAAAUUACAGUAAAAUGAAGUAAGUAAAUACUUGAAAGCAAAUAUUUAUUAACUUUUUUGGAACAAUUCCUAACAGUUCAGCAUGU
rnacentral:tRNA from 1 species